rnacentral:misc_RNA from 1 species
CUGCAUGCCACUAUGGAACUGAAUCAUCUAAUGUUCUUAAAGAUGACCUAACUUUUAGCAAGAUUUUGAUGUUUGUGCUUCAUGAGGCUGAUAAUAUAUUCCGUAAACUGCUGGGAAUACAAUGCUCAAAUGGAAGGAAGGAUGUGAUUUUGGAACUCAAGGAUACUGCAAAAUGGAAGAAACUAAAGCCACUGAUAAAGUCUUAUCUGAGGAGUACCCUGUUUUUCCUGAAUGAGGUGUCUGACUCUGAGAUAUUGGCCUUCACAUUAACCCGACUCAAAGCUUCAAUAAUAUUUUUUGCUGCUUUCCCUCAUUUACUGCAAAGACUCAUCAAGACAUCCAUUCAUUUGUGGGCAACAGGUGAAGGAACUCUGUCACUGCACUCUUUUCUCAUAAUUCGAGAGGUGGCUGCUGUAUUUAACUCAGAUUGCUUUGAUGUCUGCUUGGUUAAAGCAUACAAGGCUUUUAUUAGUCGCUGCAAGUUUGUGGAGCCAGUUAUAUUUAAGCACAUACUAUUUUUGAAGAAUUCUUUUGUUGAGCUAUGCUCUCUAGAUGUACAGAAAGCAUCUAAUAAGGCAACAGUUUCUAUCCAACAGCUUGCUAAGAUAUUGCAGCUGGGCCUACGGACUAAGAAGAAGGAAGCAGUUAAGAAGAUAUGCAGUUGGCAGUAUGCCAACUGCAUUGAACUCUGGAUUGCAUUUAUAUCAGUGAACAUACAUGAUUGUGAUCUUCAACCAUUGCUUUAUAUGAUCAUUCAGAUCAUAAAUGGAGUAGCUGUACUGUUCCCAGGACCAAGAUACUUGCCUUUAAGAGUUAAAUGUGUUCAAUGGCUGAAUCAUCUAUCCAGUUCUAGUGGUGUUUUUAUCCCUGUGGCAUCAUUGGCAUUGGAUGUUUUAGAAUAUAAAAUUGGCAAGGGGGGUAGCAAGCCAGGGAAGGACUUCAACUUUUCAUCUGCCAUAAAGUUGCCAAAACAUUGGCUAAAAUCUGGAAACUUCCAAGAGGAAUGUGUUUUUUCUGCCAUUGAACUGCUGGCAGUACACUUCGCUCAGUGGAGCUAUCAUAUAUCCUUUCCUGAACUGGCAACUAUUCCAGUUAUUUGUUUGAGGAAAUUCCAUGAGAUGACUACCACAGAGAGUUCCCGGCGCUUGGUAAAGCGUUUUAUUGAUCAGGUGGAGCAGAACAUUGAGUUUGUGCGGAAGAGGAGAGAUGAAGUUGCUUUUUCACCAAGAGAUCAGCAAUCUGUUGAAUCAUUUCUGCAGCUUGAAAAGGGCAGCGGCAAUGUUCCAUUUACACAAUAUUACAGAAGUGUCAUAGAAAAGUCUGCUUCCAGGAAUCUGCCUACUAAAAAAAAUACGAGUUACUUGGAGCUGAAGAAAUCAAAAAGAAAGAGGCAACACUCGAACAAUAAUGUAGAUGUGGCUGUGAAUGGGGAAGUGGAUUCUGAUUAAGUGGAAGUAUAUUUAUGAGAUGGAAACUGGGAAGAAUGAGACGAAAUUACAGAGUAAUGCUUUCCUGCCACCCUAUUUGAUACUUUGAAAGAUUUAGAGAAUCCUCUGCUUUUUCGUCUUUGGCAGGAAAGUGGGUGGGUGGUAAUUUAUAGUUUCUUCAAGCAAAUAUACCCAUAGGCUUCAUGAAAUUCUGGUCCUGAAUCAGAGAUUCAAUGAGCAUUGUUGUUUAGAUGUGUAGGGCUCUAGGUGGAACCUCUAUUUGCCAUGCUGUAAGGCUGAAAUCAAAGUUUUGGUUUAUUAAUAUUGAUGGUCUAAUUAUUUGUUGAGUACUGAUUCUCUUUACAAGCAUUUAAGGCUUUGUAUGGCAAGGAGAGGCAAAGAGAGGCAAGUAACUUAUAUACUCCCUACACAGGGUGAAUGAAUGAAGGUAAUGGUGAGUUUUACCUUUCCUGGUCAAGGGCUAGUUUAGAAUCGGAAUUGAAUUGAAAUCAGAUCGAGACUGUAUUUGACUCGAAUCGUAAAGGAAUUGUACUAAAAUUAAACCGAAUGGC